rnacentral:rRNA from 1 species
GAUGAACGCUGGCGGCGUGCCUAAUACAUGCAAGUCGAGCGAACAGACGAGGAGGUUUCCCCUCUGUGGCUAGCGGCGCACGCGUGUGUGACACGCGUAGAUCCUCUUUAUAAUACUCGGAGAACACUGGGAAACAGCAGCUAUUACCCCACAAUAUAUUUAACCUCACGGGUCACUAUUGUAAGAGGGUGUUGCGCUCACUCAUAGAUAUUUCCGCGCCGCAUUAGCUAGAUGUUAAGGUAACGGGUUACCAAGGGAACGAUGCGUAUCCGACCUGAGAGGGUGAUCGGCCACACUGGGACUGAGACACGGUCCAGACUCCUACGGGAGGCAGCAGUAGGGAAUCUUCCGCAAUGGACGAAAGUUUGACGGAGUAACGCCGCGUGAGUGAUGAAGGUCUUCGGAUCGUAAAACUCUGUUAUAAGGGAAGAACAAAUGUGUAAGUAACUGAGCGCGCCUUGACGGUACCUAAUCAGAAAGCCACGGCUAACUACGUG